AUACGUAGGGGGCGAGCGUUGUCCGGAAUGAUUGGGCGUAAAGGGCGCGUAGGCGGCGCGGUAAGUCUGGAGUGAAAGUCCUGCUUUCAAGGUGGGAAUUGCUUUGGAUACUGCCGCGCUUGAGUGCAGGAGAGGUUAUCGGAAUUCCCGGUGUAGCGGUGAAAUGCGUAGAGAUCAGGAGGAACACCGGUGGCGAAGGCGACUUUCUGGCUGACAACUGACGCUGAGGCGCGAAAGCGUGGGGAGCGAACAGGAUUAGAUACCCUGGUAGUCCACGCCGUAAACGAUGAUUACUAGGUGUAGGGGGUAUCGACUCCCUCUGUGCCGCAGUUAACACAAUAAGUAUUCCGCCUGGGGAGUACGGCCGCAAGGUUGAAACUCAAAGGAAUUGACGGGG
rnacentral:rRNA from 1 species